rnacentral:rRNA from 1 species
UAAAGCUACAAAGAGCUAAUGGGGGAUGCCUAGGCAUUGACAGCCGACGAAGGACGUGAAAAGCUGCGAAAAUCCACGGGGAACUGCUAAUAAGUCUUGAUCCGUGGGAAUCCGAAUGGGGAAACCCUGCAGAGUUAGAACUUUGCAAUCAUUAACUGAAUAGAUAGGUUAAUGAGGGAAAGCCUGUGAACUGAAACAUCUUAGUAACAGGACGAGAAGAAAAUAAACGAAUGAUUCCGAGAGUAGCGGCGAGCGAAAUUGGAGAAGCCUAAACCAUUUAUACGUGAUAGCCUGUAAGCGUUGUAUGAGUGGGGUUGUGGGACUUAUUAAAUUAUGUUACAGCAUAAUUAGACGGUUACAAAAUUAUUUUAUAGACGAAGACAACUGGGAAGUUGGGCCAUAGAGCGUGAUAGCCGCUUAGUUGAAAGAGAAUAAUCCGUUAAUAAGCACCCGAGUAUGGCGGGGCACGAGAAACCUUGUCUGAAUCAACCGGGACCAUCCGGUAAGGCUAAAUACUAGUCAGUGACCGAUAGUGAACGAGUACAGUGAUGGAAAGGCGAAAAGAACAGUGAGAAGCUGAGUGAAAUAGACUUUGAAACCGUUAGCUUACAAACAGUUAGAGCCUUAUAAAUAGGGUGAUAGCGUGCCUGUUGAAGAAUGAGCCGGCGAGUUAAUUUAUGUUGCGAGGUUAAGGGGUUAAUACCUGCAGCCACAGCGAAAGCGAGUAUGAAUAGUGCGUUAAGUAACAUGAAUUAGACCCGAACCUUGGCGAUCUAACCUUGACCAGGAUGAAGCGUAGGUAACACUACGUGGAGGUCCGAACCAACCGAUGUUGAAAAAUCGGUGGAUGAGUUGAGGUUAGGGGUGAAAUGCCAAUCGAGCCAAGAGCUAGCUGGUUCUCCCCGAAAUGCGUUUAGGCACAGCGUUGGAUUUAUCUUAUUGGAGGUAGAGCACUAGUCUGGUGCGGGCGGCGAAAUGCCGUACCAAAUCAUGUUAAACUCCGAAUACCAAUAACGUUAUUGUCCAGCAGUGAGACUGCGAGUGCUAAGAUCCGUAGUCAAGAGGGAAACAGCCCAGAACGCCAGUUAAGGUCCCAAAUAUAUGCUAAGUGGUUAAGGAGGUAGAGUUGCUUAGACAACCAGGAGGUUGGCUUAGAAGCAGCCAUUCCUUGAAAGAGUGCGUAAUAGCUCACUGGUCAAGCGACUCCGCGCCGAAAAUACACCGGGACUAAAGCAUAUAACCGAAACUGCGUCAUUACAGUUUACUGUAAUGGGUAGGGGAGCGUAAUGUAGUAAGACGAAGCCAUAGUGAAAACAGUGGUGGAUGAGGCAUUAGUGAGAAUGUCGGCAUAAGUAGCGAAAACAUUGGUGAGAAUCCAAUGCACCGAAAACCUAAGGUUUCCCACGGCAGGCUCGUCCGCGUGGGGUUAGUCGGACCCUAAGCUCAGGCCGAGAGGCGUAGGCGAUGGGAAUCAGGUUGAUAUUCCUGGACUGACAUAUAUUUGUUUGAUAGGCGGAGGGACGCAGGAGGAUAGACACGCAGUCAAUUGGAAGGCUGUGAAAGCGUGUAGGUAGAGUAAGCAGGCAAAUCCGUUUACUUGUUAAAAACUGAGGCGUUAUAGGACACCCUACGGGGUGGAAGGUGUUGAUUCCACACUGCCAAGAAAAUCUUCGCACUGUAGAAUAUAAGUUAUCCGUACCCGAAACCGCCAAAGGUAGGUUGGUAGAGAAUACUAAGGUGCGCGAGAUAACUCUCGCUAAGGAACUCGGCAAAAUCACCUCGUAACUUCGGGAGAAGAGGUACCCUGUUAGCGUGAAGCAACAUGCUUGUGGAGCGUGAUAGGGUCGCAGUGAAUAGGCCCAUGCGACUGUUUACCAAAAACACAGGUCUCUGCAAAGUCGAACAAGACGAAGUAUAGGGGCUGACGCCUGCCCGGUGUCGGAAGGUUACGUGGAAGGGUUAGUGGUAACACGAAGCUCUGAAACUAAGCCCCGAUGAACGGCGGCCGUAACUAUAACGGUCCUAAGGUAGCGAAAUUCCUUGUCAGGUAAGUUCUGACCCGCACG